rnacentral:rRNA from 1 species
CGUAAGGUCCGAGCGUUGUCCGGAAUCAUUGGGCGUAAAGGUACGUAGGCGGAUAAGCAAGUUAGAAGUUAAUACCUAUAGCUCAACUAUAGCAAGCUUUUAAAACUUAGCUCAUCUUGAGGUAUGGAAGGGAAGUAGGAAUUCCUAGUGUAGCGGUGAAAUGCGCAGAUAUUAGGAGGAAUACCGGUGGCGAAGGCGACUUUUCUGGCCAUAAACUAGACGGCUGAGGUACGAAAGCGUGGGUAGCAAACAGGAUU